UUGCGGGGGGGGCCCAGGCAGGCCUAGGACCCCCCCCCCAUGGAGAGCCAGUUCUGGCAUGACAUCUUGGGGUGCUGCAAUCAAUACCAAGAAAGCCCUCCGGAUGCUGAGGACAUCUUAUUAUUGGUGCUGGGCCUCAUCGUUCUUGUCAACAUUAGCAUCAACAUGGCAACCAUGAUGUGGAAUGGGCUCCAGAAUGUCUUAGACAAGAUGAUCUGUUGGAUUAACCAGAAAGAUGAAGCCCAGGCUAGUGAAAGCUCUCCCAAAGAUCCUCCAGCCAAGGCCCAGGAUAUCCACGUUCACUGCACCCUGGAUCCUUUACGAGUGAAGAUGGCCCGCCCCACACACUACUACUCUUCCUCCUGCCACUGUCUUCUCAACUGCCACAAUAGCCGUCGCUGCCACCGCCGUUAUUACCAGCCAAGGCCAAAGAACCACAAACAAUUCCCCAAGGGUUGCCAAAUCUUUCAUACCCAGCCUUAUGGCUACAAGAUAUCACAGCCACCACCAGUGCCCUUUUUUGACCUAGAAGACCAGGACUCCUACCUUGAAGAGUUAGAAGACCUGUCUUUCCCAGUUCUCAAAUACCCACAUCAUAGGGGCAAGGGUGGUCUCUAUCAGCGAAUGGCUGUGCCUUCCAUUGUGGGGCUAUGGGGCCGCCAGGGUGGAAUUUUGGCCAGCUUGCCACCACCUUCUCUCUACUUGUCACCUGAGCUGCACCGCUUACCCAAGCGUGUAGAGGCCAAGUCAGAGUUGAGGCUGCAGUCCUAUGGGGCCCAAGGCUCACAAUCCAGAACUUGUGGCAAUGUGGAGGCCAAGCAAUGCACCCCCUCUCCACUACCUACCCGUCGGCUGCCCCCUAACUCCUCCUGGAUCCCUGGGAAGCAGAGCCCUUAUUUGUCAAAAGGCCAUACACUGUGUGACACCUGGGAUCAGCGGCAGCAUGGUGUUGAGAGCUCUGAGCCCCCACCUUCCUUGAUGCCCCAAAACCCGUGGCCAAAGGCCCAGGCCUACCAGGAGCACUGCUCUACACAGUCCCAGGGACGAAGCCUCCUUGGCCAUGCUCACACCCAGCCCAACCACAGCCCACAUCCAUCUAUGGGACACUUAGGUUUUAGCUCUCGGGAUGCCCAUGAGAUACGGAGCCGGGCAGCUGACUGGGCUGAGGCUUUGCCUGCUCGGCAUGCUCUCACCACCUCUACAUCCCUCACUGUGUUGGGGGAAGCCUCGUACCAGCGAGCCCCAGCUGUCAGUUCAGCCUUGCUUCCUCCUCCCUCCCAGCUCCUGCCUGAAGUUGGCCAGGCUGUUGAUCCUAUCCCACCCUCAACCAAUUUUGUCCCACUCAGACGGAAUCCAGGGGGUAAUGCCAGCUCCCAGGUGUAUGACAGCGUGGAGCUGAAGCGACAGGUACAGGAGAGCAGAAUGCGGGCCAACUCAUUGCCACCACCUGCCACCUCAACCUCCAGACCUUCUCUACACAGGAACCGGACUGGGAAAUUUAACUGAUAGCAGCUCUGGAGGCAUCUGAAGGGCUCCUUGAGGAUUCUUAUCCAUCACCUUCUGUCCAGAGACAAAGAGUCCAGUGUCCUAGGCAGCAGGCCUAUGUGCAUGCACUGUACUGCAGAUCCCAAGAACCUGUACUCAAGAGUCUCUUCCCGCUUCCAUCAUCACCCCAGCUUCCUGCUCAGGCAUGCUAACCACCACAACUCCUGGAUACCAGAUAUAUUUGAUGAAAAGGCUUCUAGGUGCUGCGGGAUGCCACCUCAGUAUAGACAAGCUAGGGCUCCCUCAGAGGAUCCAGGGAGACUGGGGAAGGAGGGAGCCAGGGAAGUCCCACAAGUCACAGCCUUGAAGGGCCAGGCCUCCUUACUCUCCAAGAUAAAGCAUUCGACCCAGUUCCGGAAGAUGCACAAGUUGGACAUGGUUCCACAUUCUUUACCCCGAGAGAGCAACAUCAAGGCCCCAGACCAUGAGCCUACUCAUCCUCCUCCCAAAGCCAAGACCCACUCCUCAACUCAUACCUCAACAGCCUGUGUUCCACCCCCCAUCCCUUCCCCUACCCCAACCCAUGUCUUACCCCCUGCUCCACCCCCUAGCCCUAUCAAUUCUCCAGCCCCUAUCUCAGCCCCUACCCUGGUUCACAGCCAAGGCCACACACCAGCCCUUGAUCCUACUUCUGCUUCUGCCCAUGCCCCAGCUCCUAUCCCAACCUGUGUCUCAGGCCCUAAUCCAGCCCAAGCCCCAGCCCACACCUCUGAGCCAUCCCAGUCCCACAGUUCUGAGAACAUAUCCUCCCAUACCCCAGCCCAACCCCCAGCCCAGAUCCCUGGCUAUACCUCAGCCCACUCCAAGGGCCAUGACCCAGCUCAUACUUCAAACCAGGCCCAGACCCACACCCAGGGCCACAUCCCUGAGCACACAUCAGCCCAAGCUUCAAUACGUACUCUAGCCAGUCCUCAUCUAACCCAUUCCUGUGCCCACACUUCAGUUUCUGCCCCACCUUCUACCCCAGCCCCUCCCUCAACUUUUGCUCCAGCCACUCCUGCCAUAUCCCCUAUUCAAGCCCCUGUCCCAGCAUGUCCCUUGACUUCCACUCCAAAAGGGGCUGUCCCUGCCACCACUCCUAUCUUAACUCCUAUUCCUUCUACUCUGGUUGCCUUUGGCCCUAGCCAAGUAGUCUAUGAUGCUCACAGGGUAAGACAGAACAUCUUGCAUAAGUGCAAUGUCCAGAACUCUGCAUAUCCCAGAAAGGACUUGGGUACCCUCUCUGGGCCCCAAGAGAGGCAGGGCCUGGCAAGUUCUGGUACAUCUGAGCAGACAUCAAAGCAAAAUAUUGGGGACAGUGCUGAGCCUCCUGUAGGAUCUAUACUGGGCUACUUAGAGAUGGGGAAUAUGGAAUGGAAAAUUUCAGAUGAUGCCAAAGACAAGUGCUCUCAGACUAAGACCUUCCCUUACUAUAGCUUCCAUCCUUGCAGUUCUGAAAGAAAAAACACAAAUUCUAAGGGUCUAGUGUACCCUAAAUUCCUGAUCUAUACCCAAGAUGCUGCUGCUCCUAAACCUUGCUUUCACUCUCCAACCACUGCCCAGAGCUCACUGCCCACACUUAAUCCACCAUGCACUCUUUCUCUGCCACUUAUUUCUCCCAAAUCCUUUGUCCUAACUCAGUCCGCCAACCCCCAGAAACCCUCCACCUCAGCACAGAUCCCCACCUUUGUUCCAACCUCCAAGACUCCUCAAUCUGUUUCCUCUUCCCAUUUUCCUAUGCCUCCCCAGUUCCCCAUCAUUUCUCAAUCCUUGAUUCAACCCCAACACCCUGAACGUCAUGAUAAUCAAUGUCCUGCCGGAGACUCUGGCCUCCAAAAGACUCCAUGCCUUUCAAAUGACUCCGGAGUUCCAGGGAACCCAAGCCUUAUCCAACAUCCAGGCCUCAACAAGAACAUAACCCUUAGACAAGAUUCAGACCUCCACACAGAUCCACAUCUUGCUCAAAAUCCAGGCUUCCACAAGUUCCCAGACCUUAUUCAAGAUCCCAAUGACUGCAAAAACCUCAGCCCUUCCCAAGAUACUGGUCUUCACAAGAAUCCAAGCACUACUCAAGAUUCUGGCUUCCAAAAGAGUCCAGGUCCUAUUCAAGAUACUGGUGUCUCUAAGAUCCCAUGUCCUACCCAACCCUCUGGAUUCCAGAAGAACAUACCAUGUAUUCCAACUUCCAAUCUUCAGAGAAGUUCAGGCUUUAUACAAGACUCUGGAGUCAGUGGGAAUGUUGAACUAAACCAAGACACUGUUAUCAACAAAAGUCAAGACCUCCCCCAAGUAACUGAUCUCCAAAAGAGGCCAAGCCCUUGUAAAGAUUCUGGAAGUAACAAGAGUAUAUGCAAUAUCAAAGAUUCAGGAGCCCAUGGGAACAUAGGCCUCAUGCAAGAUUCUAGAACACAGAAUAAUCCACCAUGCCUUGCCCAAGACACUGAAGUCAACAAAUGUUCAGGACUUACCCAGGGAUCUGGAACCCCCAGGAACGCAGAUCUUGUCCAAACCUCUGGCCUCCAGAAAGUCUCAGGUCUCACCCAAGAUGCAGGAGACUAUAAGAAUAUAGGCCAUACCCAGGAUUCUGGAGUCAACAGAAUCCCAGGUUUUACCCAAAAUUCUGAUUGCUAUAAGAGUACAGCCCUUCCCCAAGCUACUGAAGUUGAGAAAAUAUCCAAUCUAACCCAAAAUGUUGGAGUUUACAGGAGCACAGAACAUGGCCAAGAUUCUAACCUUCAUAAGUGCCCAGAAAUUAAUCAAGAUCCUGGCCCUCAAAAGGACCCAGAAGUUGGCCAAAACUCUAGCCUCCCCAAGAUUCCAGGACUUCCCCAGAAAUCUGGUCUUUGCAAAGAUGCAUGCUCUAUUCCAGACCCUGGACUCCAUGAGAAUUCAAACUUUGCUGUAUGUACUGACUCUGUCCAAGUCUUGGAUCAGCAUCCUAACCCACAGCCAACACCAUGCCUGAUGAAGUCAUUUAAAUGUGAGACAGCUCCCCAGAAAGAGAGUGUUGAGCAUCAUGUAUCCUGGGCUUCUGACCAAAUCUACCAAAACUCCUGCCCUGCCAAGGCCCAUAUGAUCUCCACAGAUCUGCAAACCUUCUCAGAGGUUCCUGUACUAAUUGAGCUGCAGCCUUCUUUCCGACAGGCAAGCAGCCAAGACUGGGUAUACCACCCUGUGGAUAUAGUUCCACCGUCCUGCCAGAACUAUCGUCAGAUGUCUGUGCCUCCCAAAGUCAACUGGAGGCCCCACUGCCCUGGACCAGGAACCCGGACAGGGCAUGUGGUCUUUGAUGCUCGACACAGACAGUUAGCAGUGGGCAGGGACAAAUGUGAAGCUCUGUCUCCAUGGCACCUACGUCGAGAGGCAUCCAGCAACUCAGGGGAAACCAUCAAGGAGUGGGGAUAUCAGAAUGUAAUGAGAACCUCAGA